GCCUGGGUGGCUCAGUCGGUUAAGCGUCCGACUUCGGCUCAGAUCAUGAUCUCAUGAUUCGUGGGUUCAAGCCCCACAUCAGGCU
rnacentral:tRNA from 1 species